rnacentral:misc_RNA from 1 species
GAUGAAGAACGCAGCGAAAUGCGAUAGGUAAUGUGAAUUGCAGAAUUCAGUGAAUCAUCGAAUCUUUGAACGCACAUUGCGCCCUUUGGUAUUCCUUAGGGCAUGCCUGUUCGAGCGUCACUACACACCUUAUCACAAUAUUUGUGGUCUUGGCAGGAGUGAAUUGCUGGUCUAUGGAAGUAUUUCAGCAGUACACAAUGCUAAAAAAUAUGGGAAGGUUACCAGAUAUGAACAACAGACUUUGUAAAUGGUUGUAGGACCUAGAUCAGUCACAAGUCAUGUCUGGUCCCUUACCUUAAGGACCCCCAUCCUAGAUGAACUAUGGGUUGACCUCGGAUCAGGUAGGAAUACCCACUGAACUUAAGCAUAUCAAUAAGCGGAGGA